UGGGCGCUUUCGAAAGCGCCCAUCAAAAAUAUGGGCGCUUUCGAAAGCGCCUAUAAAAAAUAUGGGCGCUUUCGAAAGCGCCCAUAAAAAAUAUGGGCGCUUUCGAAAGCGCCCAUAAAU